rnacentral:tRNA from 1 species
AGGGAUAUCGCCAAGCGGUAAGGCAGCGGCUUUUGAUGCCGCCAUUCGUAGGUUCAAAUCCUGCUAUCCCUGCCA